rnacentral:rRNA from 1 species
AGCGAACGCUGGCGGCAGGCCUAACACAUGCAAGUCGAACGAACCUUUCGGGGUUAGUGGCGGACGGGUGAGUAACACGUGGGAACGUGCCUUUAAGUUCGGAAUAACUCAGGGAAACUUGUGCUAAUACCGAAUGUGCCCUUCGGGGGAAAGAUUUAUCGCCUUUAGAGCGGCCCGCGUCUGAUUAGCUAGUUGGUUGAGGUAAUGGCUCACCAAGGCGACGAUCAGUAGCUGGUCUGAGAGGAAGAUCAGCCACAUUGGGACUGAGACACGGCCCAAACUCCUACGGGAGGCAGCAGUGGGGAAUCUUGCGCAAUGGGCGAAAGCCUGACGCAGCCAUGCCGCGUGAAUGAUGAAGGUCUUAGGAUUGUAAAAUUCUUUCACCGGGUCGAUAAUGACGGUACCCGGAGAAGAAGCCCCGGCUAACUUCGUG